AAAAAUGCACAUAUUGUGAGCUUGAUGAGUAGGGCGGGACACGUGGUAUCCUGUCUGAAUAUGGGGGGACCAUCCUCCAAGGCUAAAUACUCCUGACUGACCGAUAGUGAACCAGUACCGUGAGGGAAAGGCGAAAAGAACCCCGGCGAGGGGAGUGAAAAAGAACCUGAAACCGUGUACGUACAAGCAGUGGGAGCACGCUUAGGCGUGUGACUGCGUACCUUUUGUAUAAUGGGUCAGCGACUUAUAUUCUGUAGCAAGGUUAACCGAAUAGGGGAGCCGAAGGGAAACCGAGUCUUAACUGGGCGUUAAGUUGCAGGGUAUAGACCCGAAACCCGGUGAUCUAGCCAUGGGCAGGUUGAAGGUUGGGUAACACUAACUGGAGGACCGAACCGACUAAUGUUGAAAAAUUAGCGGAUGACUUGUGGCUGGGGGUGAAAGGCCAAUCAAACCGGGAGAUAGCUGGUUCUCCCCGAAAGCUAUUUAGGUAGCGCCUCGUGAAUUCAUCUCCGGGGGUAGAGCACUGUUUCGGCAAGGGGGUCAUCCCGACUUACCAACCCGAUGCAAACUGCGAAUACCGGAGAAUGUUAUCA
rnacentral:rRNA from 1 species